GUCGAUCGACACACCCCUGAGUG
rnacentral:siRNA from 1 species